rnacentral:rRNA from 1 species
GAUCCCGCCGGACCCCACUGCUAUCGAGGUGGGACUUAGCCAUGCUAGUCGAAUGAACAGAACUAUGUCUGUAAGUGGCAUACUGCUCAGUAACACGUAGCUAACCUACCCUUAGGACGUCGAUAACACCGAGAAAUUGGGGCUAAUAGGCGAUAGGUGUGAUGUCCUGGAAUGGUAUCACGCCCAAAGGUAUCCCAUACAUGUUUGGUAUACGCCUAAGGAUGGGGCUGCGGCCGAUCAGGCUGUUGGUGAGGUAAUGGCUCACCAAACCUUUGACCGGUACGGGCCAUGAGAGUGGUAGCCCGGAGAUGGACACUGAGACAAGGGUCCAGGCCCUACGGGGCGCAGCAGGCGCGAAACCUCCUCAAUGCACUUACGUGCGAAGGGGCUACCUCGAGUGCCACCUGAUGAAGGUGGCUUUUCCUAGGUCUAAAAAGCCUUGGGAAUAAGAGGGGGGCAAGACUGGUGUCAGCCGCCGCGGUAACACCAGCCCCUCGAGUGGUGGGGAUGAUUAUUUGGCCUAAAGCGUCCGUAGCCGGCCGAGCAAGUCUUCCGUUAAAUCCAGCGUCUCAAGCGUUGGACUGCGGGAGAUACUACACGGCUAGAGAGUGGGAGAGGUCAGCGGUAUUCUGGGGGUAGGGGCGAAAUCCUUUGAUCCCCGGAGGACCACCAGUGGCGAAGGCUGCUGACUAGAACACGUCUGACGGUCAGGGACGAAAGCUGGGGUAGCGAACCGGAUUAGAUACCCGGGUAGUCCCAGCCGUAAACGAUGCAUGCUAGGUGUUGGGUUGGCCACGAGCCACCCCAGUGCCGCAGGGAAGCCGUUAAGCAUGCCGCCUGGGAAGUACGAUCGCAAGAUUGAAACUUAAAGGAAUUGGCGGGGGAGCACCACCAGGCGUGAAGCCUGCGGUUUAAUUGGAGUCAACGCCGG